rnacentral:rRNA from 1 species
UGGGGAAUCUUGGACAAUGGGGGCAACCCUGAUCCAGCCAUGCCGCGUGAGUGAUGAAGGCCUUAGGGUCGUAAAGCUCUUUCGCCUGUGAAGAUAAUGACGGUAGCAGGUAAAGAAACCCCGGCUAACUCCGUGCCAGCAGCCGCGGUAAUACGGAGGGGGUUAGCGUUGUUCGGAAUUACUGGGCGUAAAGCGCACGUAGGCGGACCAGAAAGUUGGGGGUGAAAUCCCGGGGGCUCAACCCCGGAACUGCCUCCAAAACUAUUGGUCUAGAGUUCGAGAGAGGUGAGUGGAAUUCCAAGUGUAGAGGUGAAAUUCGUAGAUAUUUGGAGGAACACCAGUGGCGAAGGCGGCUCACUGGCUCGAUACUGACGCUGAGGUGCGAAAAGUGUGGGGAGCAAAACAGGAUUAGAUACCCUGGUAGUCCACACUGUAAAACGAUGAAUGCCAGUCGUCGGGUAGCAUGCUAUUCGGUGACACACCUAACGGAUUAAGCAUUCCGCCUGGGGAGUACGG